GGCCCGGUAGCGGAUGGCUUCCGCACCCGCGUUUAACACUUGUAUUGCCACGUACGUUGAGCGGGGAAACGCUCGUUCGAAUCGAGCCCGGGCCA